ensembl:lncRNA
UUUUAACUCCACCAGAACAGGCUGAAGACAGACUGGCUGGAGGAGCGUUUGGAGACCAGAGACACGUUAGGCCAGUCUCAUGGAAGAGCCAGAAAGGGCACCCUGACGACAGCCGCCAACCCGUGACCAGGCGCCCACAGCACUCACGUACGCACGCACGCACAGGUAAAGACGUUUAACGGCUCUGCCAUCGGCACCCAGGUAAGACGUUAUGUUUUUAAACAUGUCGACAAACUGCCAGGUAACACGUUCUGUCUAAAACUUUUCAGACUGUAGAAAUUGCGAUAAAAUAAGGGAAGAGACAAUUUCUCACCUCGACAAGCAACAGCGGGUCAUUCAUGUUGUCAUAAAAACCAUUAAAUUCAAACAUCGCACCGACCGGCAAAUCGACACAAGUCACGUGAUUCUUAAAGAGACGGUGUCCCUAUAACACAGAACGAAAACAUGUCAAUAACCCAGUAUGGUGAAUUAUGUCUAUAGAGUCCACCACAAGACUACACUUUGUUGCUCAAAUGUAAUAUUACUCUCUCCUCCUUGAGCCUCCCGAAAUGUCUUUACACUUUGUUGCUCAAACUUAAAGGUUGGGUAGGUGAUUUGCGAAACGCCAGCAGAUUUUGAA